rnacentral:sRNA from 1 species
GUGGGGGAACCCUCCUUGCUAGCAUUGCAAAGAAGGGCCCAGUUCCACCAGGAAUCCAGGGAUGGAGAACUGGGGAGCCUGGGCCCCACAUGAGAUUCAUGGCAGGACUUGUCUGAGGGGCCCCAGUGCCAGCGACCCAGCUCCCUGUGCCUGGUCCCUCUGUGGGUCUCAGGACCUGGGUCUGGGCUGGGUGUUUGGAGGAACCUCCUCCCGGCUCUCAGACACCUCUGUUUUGUCUGCUGUGGAUGACUUCCAGCUUGGUCCCCCUGUGGCCCUGGCAGGAGUUAUCACCAUGGGAGAGGGCAGGACAGAGGCUGGGCGAGCAGGCCUCCCGCUGGACCAGGCUACUACUGCUGUGGACCAGCUGCUUGCACCUCUGCCCUUGGCUUGCCCUCCUCGGAGUUCUCAGCCUGAACUCAGCCCCUAGGGCCCUGGGGGCACUGUCACCAGAGACCCCACCCCUCAUACCCCCAGGGACCUAGACCCACCCCCGGAAGCCGUGUGACCUCCUCGGCUCAGCCGUGGGAGGCAUGGGCUCUGUCCCACGUGCUGCGGUGGCCAUAAAGGUGAUCCAUACUGGGCCAGGUGCACCUGCCCCCCGAGGUGCCCCCCUGGACCACUGCCUCCCUCCCUCCACCUGGCACCGGCUCCAGUCUCCUAUGUGGGGGCCGAGAGGGGGCUGUUGGCAGCCAUGCCCCAGCAAGUAGGGGGCUUGCUGAGGGCUGGGCCACUGACCACCUGCCCGGCAUCCCCUCAGGUGUGUUCAACCCCAACUCGGAGGACCCCCUGCCCGGGCAGCUCAAGAAGCAGCUGGUGCUCCGGAUCAUCAGUGGCCAACAGCUUCCGAAGCCGCGCGACUCCAUGCUGGGGGACCGCGGGGAGAUCAUCGACCCCUUUGUGGAGGUGGAGAUCAUCGGGCUCCCCGUGGACUGUAGCCGGGAGCAGACCCGCGUGGUGGACGACAACGGGUUCAACCCCACCUGGGAGGAGACCCUGGUGUUCACGGUGCACAUGCCGGAGAUCGCGCUGGUCCGCUUCCUCAUCUGGGACCACGAUCCCAUCGGGCGUGACUUCAUUGGCCAGAGGACGCUGGCCUUCAGCAGCAUGAUGCCAGGCUACAGGCACGUGUACCUGGAGGGGAUGGAAGAGGCCUCCAUCUUUGUACAUGUGGCUGUCAGUGACGUCAGCGGUAAGGUGAGUGUCACCCCCUGCCACCGGCCAUCAUGGGGGGGGCCACACCAGCCCCUUGUCCCAUGCCCCCCCAUGUGUCCCCAGUGCUGGGUCCUGAACUCAGGCAGUGAGGCCUAGGGUCCCCUCCCCGGGCCUCUGCUCCUCUAUCUCAACAGGGGCUGCUGUGGGGGCCUGGCUCCUGAGCCACCAGUGCCCACCUCUGAUCUCAGGGCUGGCUGUGGGCAUCUCGAGCAGGACAGGUCUCGAGUGCUCUGGGCCUUGCCCCGCCCUGUGACACCCAUGCCUGUCUCAGACUCUUGGGGGCCUCGCAGCCUCCACCCCCACAGUGCUGCCAUCUGGCUUCUCAGCAAGGACCGAGUGAUGCCCCUCUCCCCUCUCCUACCCCCCACCCCUCUUACUUCCUGGUGUCACGUGGAAGGCAGCUGCCCAGGUUUGCCUGUGACUCCACACCCAGCAUGUCUGUCCCCUACCCCAGGUCAGGGUGGGGCCUCGGCUUCCACAGGAAGGGGUCUUGGUGCCAACCCUGUUGCCCUGGCUUUGAGCUGGGGCCCAGUGCCUUCUGGGUCCUGCUGGCUGCAGCUGGCCCUCGGGGGACCCUGCACACACAGCACGAGGGGCCUGCCCAGGCCCAGUGCUGACUCUCUCCUGCCAUGCUCUCGGGCCCAGAGGUGCCAUCCAGCCCCUGCCGUCUAUCCACCCAUCUGUUCCUCGUCCCCCAGGCCGCGGGGCUCCCCACGCCACUGCUGUGGCCGCCUCACCUGCUCCCUCUGUCUCUUUGGUCUUGCAGUCGGCUUCUCUAUGGCCACAGUCUACUUUUAGAAGCGCAGCUCUGUUAGGAGCCUUGAAGGUACCCGGUGCGCGGGACAGUGUGGCCCGCUGCACCUGCAUGCCAGGCCGCACCCCAUUAGCAUCCGUGAUUCCUGGUAGCAUUUGGAGACUGUCGCUCAUGUGACGUGGAUCAUGACAUGGCUCCGGGGGCCCUGGCCAUCCCCAGCCAUAGUGGCAUUUACGAGGCAGAUCCAGGGUUCAGCUGGGUGGCCGCCUUCUCACUGGCCUCCCCUCUCCUCCCCUCCCUCAGUCCUCCCUCCCCUCCCUCAGCCCCUUCCCUGGCGGGGAGCCCGCUGGAGCCCCCGCUGUGCCCUCCUAAUCCCCCUCCUUCUCUCUCCUGCCCCCAUCUCGGACCCUCAGGCUGUUGGUUCUGAGUUCCCCUCCCGCUCCCUCCCUGUCCUUGCCAACCAUGCCCAGUGCCUGGGAUGAGGGCACCCCUGAGGCCGGUGCUCCGAGCCAGAAUCCCGGAUCUGCUUCUAAAUGGCUUCCCAGCCACGGACCAAAUGCGUAGAUUUGGGAUCUUGAAUCAGGAAGCUGAUUCAAGUGCUGGCCAUCUGAACGCAUCUGCCCAGAGGCGCCCCUGCGGGGGGGUGACCCACCUGCUGGGCCUGGGCCACUCUCUGCACGAGCACGGCUCGUCAUGGGGGCACAGUGGGUGCUGCCGGUCUCGGGGGCAUCUGGCAUGUGAGGGCCCCUCUGGCCUCUGCGCCCUGGAGAUGCGGCUGCCUCCCUCUCAGCAGCUGUUCUGCUCAGGCAGGGACCUCCUGGGCCCAGCUGUCCAGGAAGAUUGGCUGUGGCCAGGUGCUGGUGGGCUGGGAGCCUGAGCCCAUCUUGGCAGGGUUCAGGGGGCAGCAAGCCAGCUGUGGGCCUUGGGGGCUCACACGACUGGAGGGCAGGGCAAGACCAGAAAAGGCUGCCUGGGGGAAUUCAGGAAGGCUUCCUGGAAGAGGUGGUACUUCCUAGGGCAGGAGUAUCACCAUGGGAGUGGGCGGGACAGGGGCUGGGCAAGUGGGCCUCCUGCUGCACCUGACUACUCCUGCUGUGGACCAGCUACUCCUGCCUGAGGGUGGGGCACACACAACCAGGGAGUGCCACACCAGUGUCCCCUGCCAGCGCCGGGGGCUGCGGGCCUCUGAGCAGGUGCAGGCAGUGGUGGGCCAGGCUGGGACUCGAGGUCUCUCCUCCGGAGGGAAGGACCUUCUCUCCAUGCCCCUCACGGGCCCCACAUGCCCGGGACGGCUCGGGCGAGGGCAGUUUCUGCCGGAAGGGUGGGGUGGGCCAUCUGUACUUAGAUCUGUAGCAGCCACUGUCCCAGGCAGAGCUGCCCUAGGGACCCUGCUCCUGAAGGCCCUGGUGUGUCCACACGCCCCCAGCCUGAGGUGGCCUGGCCCCUCGGACUGAGACACGCACGGCACGUCCGUGGCACAGUCUGGAGAGCUGGCCCCAGGGGUGCAGGUGCAGCUGGGCUGGGACCCCUGGCAACAGCUAUGUGGGCUCCUUCUCUUGUAGGUCAAGCAGGCUCUGGGCCUAAAAGGCCUCUUCCUCCGAGGCCCAAAGCCCGGCUCACUGGACAGUCAUGCUGCUGGGCGGCCCCUGGCCCGGCCCUCCGUUAGCCAGCGGCUCCUGCGGCGCACGGCCAGCGCCCCGACCAAGAGCCAGAAGCCAGGCCGCAAGGGCUUCCCGGAGCUGGUCCUGGGCGCACAGGACGCAGGCUCCAAGGGGGUGGCAGACGACGUGGUGCCCCCCGGGCCCGGACCUGCUCCGGAAGCCCCAGCCCAGGAGGGGCCCGGCAGCGGCAGCCCCCGAGGUAAGGCGCCGGCUGCGGUGGCAGAGAAGAGCCCUGUGCGAGUGCGGCCCCCGCGUGUCCUGGAUGGCCCCGGGCCUGCUGGGGUGGCCGCCACAUGCACAAAGUGUGUGGUGGGAUCCUGCGCCGGCAUGAACACCGAGGGCCUGCAGAGGGAGCGGCCACCCAGCCCGGGGCCUGCGAGCAGGCAGGCAGCCAUUCGCCAGCAGCCCCGGGCCUGGGCUGACUCGCUGGGGGCCCCCUGCUAUGGCCUGGACCCUCAAGCUAUGCCGGGGAGAAGCAGAGAGGCCCCCAACGGUCCCGGGGCCUGGAGGCAGGGUCCAGGCGGUGGCGGCUCCAUGUCCUCGGACUCCAGCAGCCCAGACAGCCCAGGCAUCCCUGAAAGGUCCCCCCGCUGGCCUGAGGGUGCCUGCAGGCAACCGGGGGCCCUGCAGGGAGAGAUGAGUGCCUUGUUUGCUCAAAAGCUGGAGGAGAUCAGGAGUAAAUCCCCCAUGUUCUCCGCCGGUAAGCCCCUCUUGCCCCGCGUGGUCCUCCCGCAUGCCCCUGGCAUGGCUGGGCCCUGGGUCACCUGCUGCUGCUGCUGCUUCGUGGACGGCGUCGCCUCGUGUGCUCGUGCUCGUGGCUCUGUCUCCGUGGCACUGUCUCCGUGGCACUCUGCUCCCUUGGCUUGCCUGUGGCCCAUAGCCCCAGCCCUCCUGUCUGACCCUGAGGCCCUGGGACUUGGGUGGAGCUGGUUUGAGGCCCAACAGGCUGGGAAGAAUCAGCUGCUCUUGCUGAGGGUCCGGGGCCGGGACUAUGGCCUGACAUGCUGGGCCCCUCCGGCUGAGCGCUUCCCCAAACUCACCUCCUGGGCAGCUGGCAACCUGCAUGGCCCCUGAUGCCUUUCCUGGGACUGGGGGCCACAUCCCAUCCCAUUCCCACCUCCCUCUAGGGCAGGCUCUGGGGGUCCCUACUGGGAAGUCUGAUGUGGGCAGGCAGUGCAGCUGCUGGGCGUCUCCUGCGCCCCCGGGAUGCCUGGAGCCUGCUGAGUACUGCGUGGAGUAGAUUCCCUGGGCCCCGGGGCUUCGCUGCUUUGGGCUGAAGCGCCCCACUAGGAGGAUGUCUCCUUAGCCUGGAGGGAGGGAUAUACACGGAGCCCUCCCCACACCACCCUGCCCCUCCAGACCCCCCUGACCGAGCUUUCCUUUCUGCCCCCACCCACGCUGCCUCCGUAGUUAGGAACUGAGAGCGGCGAGUGACAGGUAACGGGGCCCAGCCCUGGUGUCCCGUACUGUCCCAGCCCAAGGAGGGCCCCGUGUGCGGCACAGGGCGUGCACUGGGCCCCAGCAGCAGCAGGGUGGGGACACUGAGUGUGCCGCCACGCCCGGGGGAUGCCUCGGGGUGGGAGCUGGGCCUGGCGACCCUCGGCGCAGGGCACCGGGGACACCACCCUGAUCCAACUCCUCUCCGCCUCUCUCCCUGCCUCCCUCUCUUUCCCUCUUCUGCUUCUCCCUCUGGCUCUCUCUCUCUGACUCCUCCACAUCCCCACAGACACCCGCCCCCUCUCCACGCAGCGGCCGCUCCCCGCACUGUGCAGCCUGGAAACCAUUGCUGAGGAGCCCGCCCCAGGCCCUGGCCCCCGCCACUAGCGGCCGUCCCCACCAGCUCUUCUCAGGGACGGCCCCCAUACCUCACAGGACCCGGAGCCAAUGUGGCAAGCCCCCCAGAAGACACCGAGGAACCCCGAGACAGUGGGCCUCGGCCGUGCAACGGCAAGGGCCCCGGUGGGGCAUACGAGGGGGCUCCUGGCAGCCAGACGGACGGCAGGAGCCAGCCCCGGACCCCGGGCCACCUGCCCGUGAUUAGAAGGGUGAAGAGUGAGGGGCAGGUGCCCACGGAGCCCCUGGGAGGAUGGCGGCCCCUGGCCAGUCCCUUCCCAGCCCCUGCUGUGUACUCCGACGCCACGGGCAGUGACCGGCUGUGGCAGCGGCUGGAGCCAUGUGGCCCCCGAGACAGCGUUUCCUCCUCCUCCAGCAUGUCAUCCAGUGACACUGUCAUUGACCUCUCCCUGCCCAGCCUGGGCCUGGGCCGCAGCCGUGAGAGCCUCGCAGGAGCCCACAUGGGACGCCUGCCUCCCAGGCCCCACUCGGCUUCAGCCGCCCGCCCAGACCUGCCACCUGUGACCAAGAGCAAAUCCAACCCCAACCUGCGGGCUACGGGUCAGCGGCCUCCCAUGCCUGAUGAACUGCGGCCCAGGCCCCUGGCCCCACGGAUGCCUGGCCUCCCUCUCCGGCCUCCCUGGGGCUGCCUUUCCCUGGUGGGCCUGCAGGACUGCCCAGUGGCUGCCAAGUCCAAGAGCCUGGGGGACCUCACUGCUGAUGACUUUGCCCCUAGCUUUGAGGGCAGCUCCCGCAGCCUUAGCCACAGCCUGGGCCUCCCGGGAGGGACACGGCGGGUGUCGGGGCCGGGGGUGAGACGGGACGCCCUGACAGAGCAGCUGCGCUGGCUCACAGUCUUCCAGCAGGCAGGAGACAUCACGUCACCCACCAGCCUGGGCCCGGCUGGGGAGGGGGUGGCAGGGGGUCCUGGUUUUCUGCGGCGCUCCUCCUCCCGCAGCCAGAGCCGCGUGCGUGCCAUUGCCAGCCGGGCCCGCCAGGCCCAGGAGCGGCAGCAGAGACUGCAGGGCCUGGGACGGCAGGGACCCCCAGAAGAGGAGCGGGGCACCCCCGAGGGCGCCUGCUCCGUGGGCCACGAGGGCAGUGUGGAUGCGCCAGCACCCUCCAAGGGAGCCCCGGGGCCAGCAUCCGCGGCCGCUGAAACCCUGGUCCUGCUCCGCCUCUGACCCUGUCAGUGGUGGGAACCUGGGCGGCUCUGGAGGCCCAGGGCAGGGGUGGGCGUGUUGUGUUUGCUCAGGAAACAGGGCAGCCAGGCCCCCAAAACUGUGUGUCCCUGGCUGCCCUGUGUCCCCUCGGCCCCUGCCCCCCUCCUGCCCCGCUCCCAGGGAGGAAAGGCUAAAGCUGCUGGCCCGGGGCCCACAGGAGGGGCUUCGAGGCUGGCCCCGCCAGGCAGUCUUCCCAGCGUUUUAGGAUCUAUACAUAGAGAAAUAUUUAAAUUUUUAGAAGCAAAACUUAUACGACAUUAAAAUGAUACCAAAUCCCUU